rnacentral:ncRNA from 1 species
GGCCACCUUCGGGGGGCUUACACAUAGGCGGGCCCCUGGCAACCAGGCCCCGCCGCUAGCAAACGGAAGACAGAAA